rnacentral:ncRNA from 1 species
AUAUGGAGCUGCCGGUGCACUUGGAGUUGGCAACAUACCGUUGCUGACAGCCAAGGGCUGAGAUUAUACGGUCCGAACCUGCCCAUGAUAAUGCGUGCGGAGGGAUGCCUUCAUGGCAACAA